rnacentral:rRNA from 1 species
GACGAACGCUGGCGGCGUGCCUAACACAUGCAAGUGGAGCGAAGAAACGAGGCUCGUCCCGCUCCAGCGCUGCCAGCGGGUGGGUGACACACACGUGGAUUACCCCCCUGUCAGGCUCAGACCACCUCGGGACAGCCGAACUCAGACCGGGCCAUAUAUGGGACAGGAAGGUUCGAUAUUCGAAUACGGUUUUGCUGGCACCGAUAGAUCGAUCCGGGCCGCAUUAGCUAGUUGGUAAGGUAACGGCUUACCAAGGCUACGAUGCGUAGCCGACCUGAGAGGGUGAUCGGCCACACUGGAACUGAGACACGGUCCAGACUCCUACGGGAGGCAGCAGUAGGGAAUCUUCCGCAAUGGGCGAAAGCCUGACGGAGCAACGCCGCGUGAGUGAUGAAGGUCUUCGGAUCGUAAACCUCUGUUAUUAGGGAAGAACAAAUGUGUAAGUAACUAUGCACGUCUUGACGGUACCUAAUCAGAAAGCCACGGCUAACUACGUG